rnacentral:rRNA from 1 species
GACGGAGGAGGCAAGUGUUAUCCGGAAUCACUGGGUGUAAAGCGUCUGUAGGUGGUUUAAUAAGUCAACUGUUAAAUCUUGAGGCUCAACCUCAAAAUCGCAGUCGAAACUAUUAGGCUAGAGUAUAGUAGGGGUAAAGGGAAUUUCCAGUGGAGCGGUGAAAUGCGUAGAGAUUGGAAAGAACACCGAUGGCGAAGGCACUUUACUGGGCUAUUACUAACACUCAGAGACGAAAGCUAGGGUAGCAAAUGGG